GAGUUUGCACUGUUUACUUGCGCUCCCUUUUUUUCCAGACCGUUGCUAGACAGCUCGCGCGGGUGAUUUUUUUCUUCUUCUUGUGCAGACCAAUCAGAUUGCGGUUGUUUCACUUUCUCGGUGAUAUUGGGUACAUUCAACAAACCAACUGCAAUCAAUGCUGAAUAAAUGUUGUAUUUUUAUUUAACCUUUUAUUUUACGAUACAAUACAACCUGAAAACAUUUUCCAUCCGUAAAAUGGACGUGUAUGUAGGCAGGGAAUAUAUUUUCCAGCAACUAACUAGUUAUAUUCAGCAGAUAAGUGCUCUCCUUGUUUUUUCCAUUAACGUUUUUAUACAACCCUUUAGAAUGUUGAAUGCAACCCUGAUUUUGUCCGGAAGAAUGAUAUUUUUGAUGAAACCAAGAAGGCGUGUUUCCGGAAGACGUGGCUAGUGCUACAGUGGCAGCACCUGAACUUGUAUUUUAAUAAAAUACAAUUAACAGUGUCAACUUUUAUAUUUUACAAGCUGUUGAUUCAUUGUCAAAAUGAUCUCUUUAACGGACUCACAGAAGAUCGGAAUGGGACUAACGGGCUUCGGCGUGUUUUUCCUCUUCUUUGGAAUGAUACUGUUUUUUGACAAAGCCCUCCUUGCCAUAGGAAAUAUCCUGUUUGUGGCUGGCCUGUCGUUUGUGAUCGGUCUGGAGAGGACGUUCCGGUUCUUCUUCCAGAAACAAAAGAUGAAGGCAACUAGCUUCUUCCUGGGUGGAGUGUUGAUCGUUCUUAUUGGCUGGCCAAUUGUGGGAGUGGUCCUGGAGAUCUAUGGAUUUUUCCUUUUAUUCAGGGGUUUCUUCCCAGCGGCAGUAGGCUUCAUCAGAAGGAUACCCUUCCUGGGCUCCCUGCUAAACCUCCCAUUCAUCAGUGGGCCUUCAUAAUUAACUCUGAGGACAAUCCGCUGUCUUGGUCAGUCACUGCAGAUUUUCCCUUGCAUUUCGUGGACAAAGUGGGAGAGGGCAACACCAUGGUAUAACAGUGACUUUUUGUUUAUGGAGAAAAACAAUCUAUUAUAUUUAUGAUACAGUUGUUCUCAUCAAGUCACGUAACCCCCCCCAUUGGUCAAUUGCCUACCUCCAACAGUUAGCUAGGUAACUUUCAUGAGACUUUGUAAAUUAAGACCUCUUCCCAUUUUAAAAGGGAAAACAAUCCGCUUUUUUGUAUCUUGAUUCUGCAAGCCAAGGGUACCAGUCCUGGUUGCUACAGGCAACUGUUACUAAUGAAUCUGGAGUUGGUUAAGAUGGCUACCCCAGAAUGUUACAUGUUAUUGAAUGCUGCUCUCCUCUACUGGAGUACUCCCCACGAGGAGGAGAGUCCCUCUACCGGACUGAAGAGAACCCGUGUCCAUUUUUGCGCUCUCACUCUAUUAUUGAAUGUACAGACAAACUCACCAUGUCAUCGCCUCUGGACAACCUUGAGAGGUGUGGCGGAGGAGAGCUGGUCCUAUUGUUACACUAGAUGGGCCAGGGGGUUUUCCUCGUGCUGUGCUGUCUUGCCAAAAAAUGAACUAGGGGUUAGCGAGAUGGCACAAACAGAUCUUAGACCAUGUUAGGGUUUCCUGACCAUAUGACCAGACCAGGGAAAACUUGAAGCCAUAGUUAAAGGUGGUUUCCUGGUCAGGUAUUGGAAAGACUCCUGGUCCUACUUAUGGUGCCUGUCCUUUCUCACACUGGACUGAAACUUGAGUCCUGUGGAAGAAAAGAGCUUUACUUUCCUUUUCUCUCACGCCCGUUAUGAUUACCGGAUCUGGCAGUUGCAUAUUUCCCCCUUAUUUUUCUGUCGUUUCUGUGUAUGAUUGGUUGAGGAAGCUCUGUAGAUACAUUUUGUAUUUUAACUUUCAAGAGCCACAUUUGAGUUGGAAUUUUAUCAAUGUUAACUAUAGUAAUGGAGGGUACUGAAUGGAAUGGCUAAUGGGAUAUGGCAAUGGUUUUACAAUGUUUUGUCUGACACUUUAAUAAAGAAAAUGUGUCAUUCAUUGUUUUGAUUGUGAGAAAUUGCAAAUAUACUAAAACAAAAAUAUGAAUGCAACAUGUAAAGUGUUGGUCCCAUGUUUCAUGAGCUGAAAUAAAAGAUCCCAGAAAUGUUCCAUACACACACAAAUUGUAUUUCUCUCAAAUUUUGUCCACACAUUUCUU